AUGGGUCUGAACAUACUGUUUGACUAUGCUGCAAAAGAUCUAGAUACCUGGAUGGCCAAGGAGGUGCUAGAGCGGUGCGAAGAGCUGGGCUUCGAGGUCGACGCCGUGACCUAUAACACGGUCAUGGAUCAUUUCUCCAACAAGAUGAAGUGGAUGCGUGUCAUCAAGUUGUUCACGGAUCUUCUCAAGAAGCCCAUAACACCCAAUGCGCACACAUACAAUAUUCUGAUCUCAUCCCUGUGCCGAGCCGACAACUUCCAGCUUGCCAAGUUCGUGUUCAGCUGCAACGGGUUUGUGGCGGACAACAUGACCUGUAACAUUCUGAUCCACAAGUUCUACGACGCGGGAAAGAAGGGCGAGCUCGGGUUCUCAUUCUCCAACGUCGAUGCGGGGAAGAUUGCCCCAGACAAAUCACAUACAAGACACAGGUCGAUUGCCUCUUUGGGUCUGGGAGGAGACCCGAGGCUGCCAAUCUGGUUAGGCACAUCGAUGAUGGAUACCUUGCAGAGCCCGUAG
rnacentral:rRNA from 1 species